UUCGGAGCUCGCGCUGUUUUCACUGCCGAGCCCUCACUUCCUGGUCGACGGGGCAGCGCCUCGCCUCGGUGUUGUCGUCGCGAGUGUCAGAGGCAGCUCUAGAGGGGGUGGAGGCUGCUGUCGCUCCGACGCCGUUCGUUUCGGACACAUUUACUAUUUGUGCUGGUUUUCAGACGGACACAUUAAACAUGGGCAGCACGGUGAUGGACUCCAACAAGCAGAGCUCAAAGAAGACCCCAAAGAGGAGGAGAAGUCUGCGGAUUAACAUGCCAGACUUUGGUGCGUUUACUGCCUCUCCAGCGGCGGAAACCGGUUCUUCCUCCAAAAGCGGCACUCAGACGGGAGAGCGUCUGAUCCGAUCAGCCAGCCCCACCAAAGGAGCCUUUGCCAGGAGCCCCGUCAGCGUGCCCCCGACGCCCCUCUCCGCCCCGGUACAAUCAAAACCCAUUUCGACUUCGCCCAAAACCAUCUUCCCCUAUCCGUCCAAUCAGAACUCCUCCUCACCAAAGUCUCCCCGCCGCCUGAGCUUCAGUGGGAUCUUCCGGUCCAAUUCGACAGCCGCAAGCAAGAUCUUCUCCAGACACAGGAGGGCCUCUGGACUCUCUACGCCCCCCACCACCCCAGUUCAGGCAUCCAGUCAGCCAGUGUUCCCCCAGGAGGCCCAGCAAAGCACCAGCAGCCAUGAAAGCCUGGAGCCUGGCUCUCGGGUUCGAUCCCUUUCCUCAACCCUGGACACGGGUCAGCGUGUCAACCUUCCCUCUGCAAAACCCCCCGUCUCUUCAGCAACCCCAAUGCCCCACUAUUCUACCUCACAACAUGUCUGCGGCUUCUUUGAAGGUAUGCUGGAGAAACUUGAACUAGAUGAUGACGCUGCUGAACCAGAGAGUGAUAUUUACAUGCGCUUUAUGAAAUCCCACAAGUGCUAUGACAUCGUCCCCACGAGCUCCAAGCUGGUUGUCUUUGACACAGCGCUACAAGUAAAGAAAGCCUUUUUUGCAUUGGUGGCCAACGGUGUGCGAGCUGCACCGCUGUGGGACACGGAGAAACAAAGCUUUGUGGGUAUGCUGACUAUCACAGACUUCAUCAUCAUACUGCACAGAUACUAUAAGUCACCUAUGGUGCAAAUUUAUGAGUUGGAGGAACACAAGCUUGAGACCUGGAGAGAGGUUUACCUUCAAGCAACCUUCAAACCGUUGGUUAACAUAUCACCAGAUGCAAGCCUUUUUGAUGCAGUCUACACCCUCAUCAAAAACAAAAUUCACCGUCUGCCUGUCAUUGACCCUGUCACAGGGAAUGCACUUUACAUCCUCACACACAAGAGGAUCCUCAAGUUCCUGCAACUGUUUAUGUAUGAAAUGCCAAAGCCAGCUUUCAUGAAGCAGACUCUAAGUGAGCUGGGAAUUGGCACGUACCACGACAUCGCUUACAUUCACCCAGACACCCCCAUCAUCAAAGCGCUUAACAUCUUUGUGGAGAAGCGCGUGUCGGCCUUGCCUGUGGUGGAUGACUCAGGCACAGUUGUGGACAUUUACUCAAAGUUUGAUGUGAUUAACUUGGCUGCAGAGAAGACCUACAAUAACCUGGACAUAACCGUGACGCAGGCUCUGAAGCAUCGCUCCCAGUACUUUGAAGGUGUUGUGAAGUGCCAUAAAAUGGAAACAAUGGAAGCCAUUGUGGACAGAAUAGUCAAGGCUGAAGUGCAUCGGCUGGUUGUGGUGGAUGAACGUUCCGGUAUCCAGGGCAUCGUUUCUCUGUCGGACAUCCUCCAGGCUCUGGUGCUCAGCCCUGCAGGUAUAGAUGCUCAGCAUUGCUAGCCCAAACUCUCCUUCUGUCCUGGACCCUGAGCUCCUCUGUCCCUCCAUCUUCCCUGUAAGUCUGUUCCAGAUAUCAAUAAGGAGGAGAACGUGACUGAAUGAGGAGGCGUUCCAUCGUUUUACCUAGUGGAGUCAGUGAAGUCAGAGGCUGAGCGGAGCCGUGCGGAGGUCCCGCUGACCACCAGAGGGCCGCGGAGUUGCUGGAGACCUGCACAGUCGCGUCCCGCGGACCUCUGCAGCGAGGGUCGACACUGAUCAAACACGCAAACAUACAAUUCAAAAUGCAGUCAAACAAGUUUAUGCACACACGCUGACCGAGGAUGGUCCGACGAUGACGAGGAGGAGGAAGAGGAUACAGAACCUUCAAUGGCAACAGAGCGGCACCACCCCUGCAACUGUCAUUAAAGACUCAAUAUUGAUUGGUGCUCAGUCUUUAUUGUUGCUCUUUCAUCAAUACAGCUUUAAAUGAAAGUUUUCAAACAACAGCAUUGAUCUGAGGAGGUGCUGAUGGAACAUGGACGCCGGUUUUUCUUUUUUGUGAUUUCAAACGGUUAAAAAUCAAGGAUUUCUACAGGUUCUGAUGAGCAGAGCUCAGGGGAAGCAGAAGUUUUAGAAAAGAUUCUUUUAACUAAGAGCAAAGGUUGCGGUUCUCACAGAUUUGUUUUCCAGUCACUGACUGCACAAAGGGUUUAUUUUCUUUUGUGUUAAGAUAUAGAUUUUUUUAAUAGAGGUAUAAUGCAUUUCUACCUUUUAUUUUCUGUGGUUUUCAUGCUUCAAUGCUGUCAAACAUGCAAAGUGAUGUGUCCUUCAGCUGUAGCUCCACGUUGACUCAUCUCAUCCUGUUGUUGCUCUCCGUAAAAAGGGUUAUUUUUAUGAAAGUGUGAAUACGUUCAGAGAGACUGCAGUUUAAAGUUAUUUUUGUAAAUAUGUUGUGGCAACAUGUGUAGUUACGCGAUACUUUCUAUCAGAUCAACAUGUACUGUAAAUGUGCAAGCAUGAAAAGCUAUACUUCAGCAGAAUGAAUGUGCAUUUUGUUUUACUUUUUCUAUUUUUUUUUCUGGCUGCAGAGAAAUAAAGACACUGAAUGUACAAUGGAA